UCCCUGGGAGACGCGGUGAUGUGACGCAGCGGUUGCAGCGAAGGUUUCUUGUAAAAGAUGGCCGCUGCGGAGUUGCUAGGUGUCUCCUGGCAGGCGGCGGCCCCGAGGGUCCCCGCCCCUUGCUGGCCCUGUCCCCGCGUGCGGGGCUGCGACCUGCCUUUGUGUGCGGGUGGAAGUGCGGGCCGCCUUGGGGCCGAGUUGCAACUUCGCGACACUCCACUGGAGUGCGAUGAGACGAUGAGAUGUUACCUCCUAACACUUCGGGAGGUGGGCAGCAUGGCAAUUCCUAGUAACCUCAACGCGAUUCACUCAGACUUCCUUUUUCCCAUCCUGAGCCGCAAAACCAGGAACUGGUGAAAUAAAUCAGGCCAUCUUUCAGAGGAAUGGCCUGCCACCGUUAAAAAGAGCAAAGCUGCAGUUUAUGUACUAAUGUGGAACCAGCUCUGAGAUAAAUUAAGUGAAAGAAAGCAAAGCACAGGAAAAUGUGUAUAGAUAUGCCUUUGUGUUUUUAAACAAGAAGACCCACAUAAAUGAAGAUAUGAAUGUGUAAGCAUAAAAAAAAAAGACUUUUUUAACCUGGAACCAAGACAUUUGAUAAACAUUCAUGAAACUCAAUUUUCAAGGAUAAAAAUUUCAAGGUCAAUACUGUAGUACUUACAGCAAAGAAUGCCAAUCAUUGUGACAGCCUGAGCCCUCUUGAAAGCUAGUUUUUGUUGGCGGGGGGUCAGAAAAUUUGGCCUGGGAAGCAGGAGGCACUCGACCUAUUUGCUGAUGCUGAAUGCCUUUCUACUGUAAGCAUACAUAGUCUCAAUGGCUUCUUCUGAUUUUGGUAUAUCUUAGGCUUUUCGGGUUAAUAUCGAAAACAGUGGCAACAUUGAGAGUUUGAGCCAAGUUCUGCCUUAGAAUCAUCCAGAAAGGUGUUUCCACUGCCUGAAAAAUAAGUAGUAGCAGUUUCAGAAUUGGCAUUGAGUUUGGAAAUCGCCUAUUUGAACUUGAAAGAAGUGUUAGUCCUCCAUCCUAAAGCAACAACCAUACUGAGCCUUUACUAGUGUGCCAGGCACUGGAGAAGAGGGUAUUCUUUUUUUUUUUUUUUUUUUUUUUUUCCUGAGACGGAGUUUCACUCUUGUUGCCCAGGCUGGAGUGCAAUGGUGCGAUCUCGGCUCACUGCAACGUCUGUCUCCUGGGUUCAAGUGAUUCUCCUGCUUCAACCUCCCAAGUAUCUGGGAUUACAGGUGCAUGCCACCACACCCAGCUAAUUUUUUUUUUUUUGAGAUGGAGUCUUGCUCUGUUGCCCAGGCUGGAGUGUAGUGGCAUAAUCAUGGCUCACUGCAACCUCCAUCUCCCAGGUUCAAGCGAUUCUUCUGCCUCAGCCUCCCUAGUAGCUAGGACUACAGGCACGUGCCACCACGCCCAGCUAAUUUUUGUAUUUUUAGGGAGAUGGGGUCUCAUCAUAUUGGCCAGGCUGGUCUCGAACUCCUGACCUCGUGAUCCGCCCACCUCGGCCUCCCAAAGUGCUGGGAUUACAGGCGUGAGCCACUGCACCUGGCCACACCCCGCUAAUUUUUGUAUUUUAUUUAUUUAUUUAUUUUGAGAUAGAGUUUUGCUCUUGUUGCUCAGGCUGGAGUGCAAUGGCACGAUCUCGGCUCACUACAACCUCUGCCUCCCAGGUUCAAGCGAUUCUCUUGCCACACCUUCUCGAGUAGCUGGGAUUACAGGCGUGUGCCACCAUGCCUGGCUAAUUUUGUAUUUUUAGUAGAGACGCGGUUUCGCCACGUUGGCCAGGCUGGUCUGGAAUUCCUGAUCUCAGGUGAUCCGCCCCCCUCGGCCUCCCCAAGUGCUGGGAUUACAGGUGUGAGCCACUUCGCCAGGCCAAGAGGGCAUUCUUACAUGGGAUAAUUACACAUAGCACUCUGGGUUGUUGAAGGCAUUAAAUAUGCUAAUAAAAGUUUAGCCAAGUUACCUACCUGUACUAAAUGCUCAGUAAAUAUUAGCUAUAAUUGUUUCAGGGAAUCCCUCAGUUGCUUGAUAAAGUACAUUUUUGCCUCUGAGACUUUUUGAGGACUUAAAAAUAUGCUAGUUCUGUAGAGCUCUUACUAUUUUCAUCAUCUUAGAGGCCA
rnacentral:lncRNA from 10 species